CGAGGAUGAUGACUGUUUGCCAACGCCGCCGCCCUCGGCAAGGAGGGAUGACAUGCACAAGCACUAAUCACGGAUCCACGAUGGCGCUCCUCUCCAGCGAUGUAGCAGGUGGAUCCGAGGCGACGCAUCCCGAUCUGCAACGCAACAGCUCCGCAACUGGCAUCUCAUGGACUGUUUGAUGUAUAUGUGAAGGCGAUGGGUGACACACACAUUGAUGAUCAUCACUCAAAUGAGGAUAUUGCUUUAGCAAUUGGAACGGCAUUACUUCAAGCACUUGGUGACAGAAAAGGGAUUAACAGGUCUGGGCAUUUUACAACACCACUUGAUGAGGCAGCAGUUGAGGAUAUACUGGGUCUAUAUGGUCGACCUCAUUUGAGCUGCGGCUUAAGUAUUCCUACCGAGAGAGUUGGCACAUAUGAUACACAGAUCUUUCCCAACCCUAGAUAUUCUCGCUGAGAGCUCCUUGAUGGAAUCACUAAGAUGAACUUACAAGACAGGCAUGGAUAAAACCAUGAGGUCCUCAAAUGGACAGAUUGCUCGGCAACUGGCAUCUCAUGGAUUGUUUGAUGUAUAUGUGAAGGCGAUGGGUGAAACACACAUUGAUGAUCAUCACUCAAAUGAGGAUAUUGCUUUAGCAAUUGGAAUGGCAUUACUUCAAGCACUUGGUGACAAAAAAGGGAUUAACAGGUUUGGGCAUUUUACAGCACCACUUGAUGAGGCAGCAGUUGAGGAUAUACUGGGUCUAUCUGGUCGACCUCAUUUGAGCUGCGGCUUAAGUAUUCCUACCGAAAGAGUUGGCACAUAUGAUACACAGAUCUUUGCCAACCCUAAAUAUUCUCGCUGAGAGCUCCUUGAUGGAAUCACUAAGAUGAACUUACAAGACAGGCAUGGAUAAAACCAUGAGGUCCUCAAAUGGACAGAUUGCUCUGGUCUGCUGUUGUGAUGGCCGAAGGAAGAGCAAGGAGAGGGAGGACGGAUGAUAGAGGAGAAUAACAUAUAUAGUUGUAAUAUAUCAGAGACCACACAAGUUCGAUGAAUGCGUUCAAUUCCAGUUUCUCCAAGGUUUCCAAAUGCCAAAGGAACACAUACAAUAUAAUCAGCUGGUUAUCAGAGACAUCAUGAGCAUGACAGAGAUAUGUACAUCAUGAGCAUGACAGAGAUAUGUGGACCAUGUGCGAACUUGAAGAUCAAAGGCAAUUGAAGAUCCUCUGAAGUUGUGAGCUGCAAACUCGAUGCACUUGCCAGAUGCUGCUGCUGAUGACACCGUACCCGAGGGCCGUCACCAGCCCCAAACUUAAAUGACUGUUGCCACUUGAUGCUUAUACUGACACUGGCAAUGAGAUGAUUCACCACCUGCACGAAUUAGGGGCUGACAAAGUGAGAAAAACAGGUGCGUCUACGUUGAUACAUUGAUGAAUGGUUUUAUUUCCAAUUCAAAACGGUGGUUCAUCUGGGAGGGUCAAGUUUUUUCACCUUGUUAUUGUAUAUAGUCAGACUGUAGUUCGACUCAAUCAAUUUCAACCAUGUUUCACAUCACCCGGAAUAGAAACAUUGACUAUUUACUGUUGGCAUAAGAUCCUUAACAGUUGCAUGGAAACUAUUGGAUUCAAGUGUCAUAACUACCUUAUGUUUGUGUCACUGUUUGCAUGUGAUGCUGUUUUGGGGCUGGAAACUGGAGAUCCUCUGAAGUUGUGAGCUGCAAACUCGAUGCACUUGCCAGAUGCUGCUGCUGAUGACACCGUCCCGGAGGGCCGUCACCAGCCCCACCUCCCUGUCAGUUAUGUGCACGUAAAAAAAAUGACCUUUGCCACUUGAUGCUUAUACUGACACCGGCAAUGAGAUGAUUCACCGCCUGCAAGAAUUAGGGGCUGACAAAAUGAGAACAACAGGUUCUCAAAUCUUGCACAGUACGACCAUGGUCCUGAUCCGAGAUCACAAUGUCAGUUUUUGUUCAGUAUAACCACGGUACAGAUCAGAGAUCAAGAGUUGUAGAAGUUAGCAGUAGAAAUUGAAAAGGUUAGAAUACAUAAACGCCCGACCUAAAUUUGCAACCGCCGGUCCAGAUAGUGUCCGGCGGCGAUUGGAUCCGCUGACCAGCGACGGAUCCGCUGAACAAAUAUCUUUGCACUCGGACGGCGGCAUCACCGGUUUUAACAGGCCGUGAAGGAGGUCUACGGUUUCAGCGUUCGUGACGGCGACCAAGGGUUUGAGCGGCGGGGACGGAAGAUGCGUGUAGAAAGGGUUUGGCGGCGGCGACUCGCAAUGGCAUCGAGGGCACGGCGAUUUUCCGGUCUUAGAGGUUCUGUUUCAGUACGAUCAGAUGUAAUUUCGUAGGUUAACCGUGUUAAAUCGUUUUAGGUCGUUUUUCCAGCUGUGAACCUUCC